ACGAACGCUGGCGGCGUGCUUAACACAUGCAAGUCGAACGAAAAGGCCCCUUUGGGGGUACUCGAGUGGCGAACGGGUGAGUAACACGUGAGUAACCUGCCCUUGACUUCGGGAUAACUUCAGGAAACUGGGGCUAAUACCGGAUAGGAAUCCUUGCUGCAUGGUGGGGGUUGGAAAGCUUCGGCGGUUUUGGAUGGACUCGCGGCUUAUCAGCUUGUUGGUGGGGUAGUGGCUUACCAAGGCUUUGACGGGUAGCCGGCCUGAGAGGGCGACCGGCCACAUUGGGACUGAGAUACGGCCCAGACUCCUACGGGAGGCAGCAGUGGGGAAUAUUGCACAAUGGGCGGAAGCCUGAUGCAGCAACGCCGCGUGCGGGAUGACGGCCUUCGGGUUGUAAACCGCUUUCAGCAGGGGCGAAGCUUGUGGUGACGGUACCUGCAGAAGAAGCACCGGCUAACUACGUG
rnacentral:rRNA from 1 species